UUGUUUUUUGCGUUGCUAGGCAACACUGAAAAAUAAAUGUCAAUGUUCUGAGAUCACAGCUUGGUUCUUCUCCCAGGGUCAGGAACAGGGUUCCCCAGUCUUCCUCCGCUCCACCCGGAGAACAGGAGCGGUACAGAGCCACUGCCAUGCUGAGAGUCCACAGUGGCCACAGAUACCAACUGGCAUUUCCAAGGACAAAUCACAAGUUGACUGCCUGGCUGCCAAGAUCUUCGGCGAGACAAAGUUUUCACUUACCUGUCAUCACACCCAGACAAGUCCCAUGUUCUCAGUGUUCUCUGCUACCUGCAAUCACUUCAAUCGCUUUUUUUGGAGAGACAGGAUCUUUGCAUGUUGCUCAGGCUGGUUUUGAACUCCUGGGCUCAAGUGAUCCACCCACCACAGUCCCCCAAGUACUGGGAUUACAGGCAUGGGCCACUGUGCUUGUCACAAUCAGCUGACUCUGAAUGAAGCAGAUCACUCUCCACGGUGAGGGAGGGCCUCAUCCCAUCAGUUGAAGGCCUUAAGAAGAACACCAAAGUCCCCCGAAGGAAGAGGAAAUUCUGCCAGCUGACUGUCUUUGGACUCAAAUUGCAGGAUCAACUCUUCUCUGAAUCUCUAGCCUGCUGGUCUACCUUGCAACUGGGGACUUGCCAGCCUUCCCAAUUGUAAUUUCUGCAUUCUUCAGAGACUCUCGGUCAUAACCCCUCAGGCUGCUCCCUCCUGGAUGACCUUGAUGCCCUCCAAAUGACCAGGCUUGCAGAGAACACACACCAUCGAUAAAGUGCCCAUCUCACCUAGAGCAGGAUAUGUGAACAGACAGCAUCGCGAUCCACUUCACAAUGUCAAGUUCACUACGGCUGGUAAAAUCAAUGCAUUCCACACAAAUAAUUAGAGUCUCUACUAAUUACUUGGAAAGUAAAAUAAAACAAAACAAAAAUGCCCCCGGCCCAAAAGCCCAACAGGUAUUUCUUUUCAAACAUAAUUCCUAGAUCUCUGUUUUAACUGAUUCAAGAAAUUAGGUAUCUUUGAAAAUACACCGAUAUCAAAAAUCUCCUAGUUAACUCCA